rnacentral:rRNA from 1 species
CCUACGGGAGGCAGCAGUGAGGAAUAUUGGUCAAUGGACGCAAGUCUGAACCAGCCAUGCCGCGUGCAGGAAGACGGCUCUAUGAGUUGUAAACUUCUUUUAUAGGGGAAUAAAGGUAUCCACGUGUGGAUAUUUGCAUGUACCCUAUGAAUAAGCAUCGGCUAACUCCGUGCCAGCAGCCGCGGUAAUACGGAGGAUGCGAGCGUUAUCCGGAUUUAUUGGGUUUAAAGGGUGCGUAGGUUGUUUUUUAAGUCAGCGGUGAAAGUUUGUGGCUCAACCAUAAAAUUGCCGUUGAAACUGGAAGACUUGAGUGUGUUUGAGGUAGGCGGAAUGUGUGGUGUAGCGGUGAAAUGCAUAGAUAUCACGCAGAACUCCGAUUGCGAAGGCAGCUUACUAAGCCAUAACUGACACUGAAGCACGAAAGCGUGGGGAUCAAACAGGAUUAGAUACCCGAGUAGUC